GGUGUGCCAUUCCUGGGGCGCCUCCCUGAAGAGGUCACUCUGGGUGAAACAGAUACAAAGAAAUGAACAUGGGAGGGGAAGUGCACCCACACUUCAAGGACUCAGGACCCUAUAAAACUCGAAGCUUCAUGUUCAUUGUUCUGCCUGACAAUCAGAUGCAAAGUGAAGCCGAUGGAGACAGACUCAACUAAUUUGGGGCUGUACAGGAAUUAAAUACAAGGAUGAAAGAAGUCAGUAAGGCUUCUUUAAAGAGGAUUACGAAACCAAAGGACAGAGUUUUUGCAACCUUCAUGCUUACACCUAGACUCCUAUGAAGAAAUGUGUCACAACUCACUGGCAUCACCGGUGUACCAACCUGUGUCCCAAGCCUUCACUAACAGGGGAUGUUGUCCACUUUCAUGAAAAUAUCAGCCAAUCUCAUCAAACAAUAUUAUUUUAAAUGUAUCCCCUGACCCAAGAAUCCUACCUCCCAGAGGAUGCUCGUGAUAUCACAAUUUGUAGUGGAAAGUCACAUAUACCAAAUCUACCACUCUAUGCAAUUCCAAUAAAAUGCUAGCAAGA